UAAUUUCCAUCUGUAGUCCCAUUAACAUAAAAACAAAUUAAGACAGUACAACAUUUCACAGUAAGAAAAAAGGAGCAGUAGCAAUAAAACAAGCACUAACAGUGAAAAACACAUUGAAAAACACAAACCAUAAUAUACAGACAGACAGAUAAAUUGCAAUACAGAUUGACUGUGGGUGGAGAGCUAGCCCACAGGUAGGGAGACCAUAAGAGUUUCGUUUUGAAGAGUAAAGUGCAUAGGUGCUGGGUAAAGUGUCAAGUGCUAAAGUGCAUGAGUGCCAGAUGAAAUUGCACAAUGCCCUAAGGUGCCAGAUGAAAUUGCACAAAGCCCUAAAGUGCACAUCAGUUUAAAGUGCCAGUUUGUAUUGCACGAGGCCCAGUACACUCAGUUGCACAUGCAGAAGCGUGUAAUUAUUGCACUAAAUGUGAUACAUAAAUGUAUUAUGUAAACACUACUGAUGAGAAAAAAUCAUACACAAAAGUAUUGUGUAAUUUUUGUAUACAUGUAACGGAAAAAGAAAGAAACUCUGAUGAUGACCCAACAAUUGCAUUGCAUUACAGGUUACAGGUGGUCGCAUGUUUGAUUUUCUAGUAACCAUGC